rnacentral:rRNA from 1 species
AGGACGAACGCUGGCGGCGUGCUUAACACAUGCAAGUCGAGCGGAAAGGCCCUUCGGGGUACUCGAGCGGCGAACGGGUGAGUAACACGUGAGUAACCUGCCCCUAGCUCUGGGAUAGCUCCGGGAAACCGGGAUUAAUACCAGAUACGACCACUUUAGACAUCUGUCGUGGUGGAAAGGAUUCCGGCUAGGGAUGGGCUCGCGGCCUAUCAGCUUGUUGGUGGGGUAACGGCCUACCAAGGCGACGACGGGUAGCCGGCCUGAGAGGGCGACCGGCCACACUGGGACUGAGACACGGCCCAGACUCCUACGGGAGGCAGCAGUGGGGAUAUUGCGCAAUGGGCGAAAGCCUGACGCAGCAACGCCGCGUGGGGGAUGAAUGCCUUCGGGUUGUAAACCCCUUUCAGCAGGGACGAAGCGAAAGUGACGGUACCUGCAGAAGAAGCGCCGGCUAACUACGCGCCAGCAGCCGC